AACUAGUUUGUUCAGAGGACAUUGCUUCGAGAUCUUUAUAAUCUCCUCUGGAGGCAGGCUUAAUUCUGAGGAAUCUUGUGGUCCUGGAAGAAGGAACAUCAAUAUUGCUCUGAGCAUUUCCUCACUGGUGAGGAGCCUCUGGAAUGACAGGAUCACAGCAGCAGGAGAUGGAGAGAUUUUGGAAUACUUUUCUUCCUGAUUAGGCCAAGAGCUUAUGCAAAGAGCAUUCUUCCAGGGGAAAUAAGUAUGUGGGUUUUACAUCAAAGUCAGCUCAAGAUCUGUACUGAAAUGGGAAAUUCAAAAUCAGGAGAUGAGGGAACAGAGAGGAAAAACCCAGCAACUUACAAAGCUCUAUUAGGACCAGAAUGAAGUUGAAGAAAAUCCCACCCACUGUUCAAACCAAGACAACCCCAUGCAAACACAAACCGCAUGGACACAGAUCCUCAGGCCUUAUGAGGAGCAUUUGAGGGCUGAAGCUGUCGUCUUCACCUUUGCAGUUCUUAAUUCUUCUUUCUCCCCAAAUCCAGAAGGAAUACACCAGGAACAAUGCAGCUCACCUGUGUCAUUACUGAGGAUUAAGGAGCAAAGAGUAUAAAUCAUUUCUUAAUGAGAAACUGAGGGGAAUAGGGUGGGGGCAUCAUUAGACAAACAAAGCAAAGGACCCAGCACAAUAGAUGCUAAGUAGCCCAUUAGUCUCUGCUAAGUGCUGCUGCUUGAGUUUACAGCAGGAAAAGCAGUUUAGGGGAGAAAAAAAGGGAUUUAGCAUGAACAUAUCCUUUCUAUCUAAAGAUGUGCUAAACUCUGUAGCAAUUCCUCUCAAAUUAGUAAAGGGAUAGAAUUUACAUAGAAAGUACUCCGUGGUUUUGCCUUAGUCCCCACAAGAGUUGAUCUGCUUUUAAUGCAGAUGCUGACUGAGCCCGGGGUAAUCCCAGUUUACAAUGGGCUUGAUGGGAGAUGUUAAGCAUAUGGUUCUUUGAAAAACCUCUCUCCAGCCCAUGGAGUGCAACAAAUCAGUUAGUUCUUGUUUUCUCUUGCACUGUUAAAAGCAAUAUCGAACCCUUGACAUAUUUGACCCGGCUUUGUUGUCACAGACAUUUGUUAGAACUAAUUUAACUAUGUAGAAAA